CGCAUCUGUGCAUGCAGCAUAUCAAUAAGCGGAGGAAAAGAAACUAACAAGGAUUCCCCUAGUAACGGCGAGUGAAGCGGGAAGAGCUCAAAUUUGAAAUCUUAAGGGGUUUCCCUUUACGAAUUGUAGUUUAAAGAAGUGUUUUCUGUUGAGGUUUUGGUAAAAGUUCUUUGGAAUAGGACAUCAUAGAGGGUGAGAAUCCCGUAUUUGACCUUUACUUUCAACUUUGUGAUACACUUUCAAAGAGUCGGAUUGUUUGGGAAUGCAGUCCAAAAUGGGUGGUAAAUUUCAUCUAAAGCUAAAUAUUGGCGAGAGACCGAUAGCGAACAAGUACCGUGAGGGAAAGAUGAAAAGAACUUUGAAAAGAGAGUUAAACAGUACGUGAAAUUGUCAAAAGGGAAGCGUUUGACACCAGUGUUGUUCUUCUGAAAAUCAAUUAAAGAACUGUUUAUGCUAAGUUGUUUAGACUUUAUCAGCUAACUGUUUAGUUUUGAGCUUUUCUUUAAUGCACUUUUCAGUUAACAAGUCAACAUCAAUUUCUUUUGCUGUAAAAAAGCUUGAGGAAGGUGGCUUGAGAUUCGUCUUAAGUGUUUAUAGCCUCUUGCCUAUGCAGUCGGAGAGAUUGAGGUCUGCAGCGUAGAUCCUUCGGGGCUAAAUGCAUUUGUGCUAAGUUAUAGCAUUUUAUAGACAACUUGUUGACUAUGAUUUGUCUUGUAGCUUACUCGCUUAUGUUAUUUUACCUACGCUUAGGAUGUUGAACGCGCACAGAGUCUC
rnacentral:rRNA from 1 species